UGCAACAUUGCAGCGGGACACCCAGUUAAGAACUUCUGCACUGAGCUGCCUGGAGGUGCUGCUACCUCAUGCGCAGCUGUUGGCUGAUUAUGAAGGUUACCUGAACCGCCUCUACGCCCACCCAUGGCUAAGCCGUGUGCUACUGCUCAGCUGUUCGGAUGAAGACUGCGCCACGAUUCUGAAUGUGUUGCUGCAGGGUGACAUUGUGAGUGAGUUGCUGGCCAGCCACCUGCCACUGAUUGCUGAAAGGCUGUGCCAGGACGGCAGCAGCCAGGCGAAGGCUGUUGCUGCCAAGCUGCUAUCUGGAGCGUACAGCACUAGGCUCAGCAAGGACGUUCAAGGACAACUUCGACAACUUCUGUCCCCUAGUGAGGCCACCACCAGUGACUGUCCAGAUGCGAGCGAUCUCACUCAGUGUGAGGCGCUUGCUUCAUUUAUGUCCAGUUAAAUUCACUUACUUAACGACCUGAAAUGAAUUUGGGUAUUGUUUCGCACCAAGCUAGGUGAACAUUAUUAAAUUGAAGAAAUAUGUGCUCUCAUUUUAACCAUUUUAACCUUUACAUUUGCCUUGCCAGUGCCUGCAUUUUAUGUGCUUGGUUAUAUUUUCUGUCAACACGAGGAAAAGUGCUGUAUGACACUGAUAUUUUGUGACAGUUGCUCCCAGCAGUUAAGGCUGCCUGAUGCAUCUUUCUG